UACAGAGGUCUCAAGCGUUGUUCGGAUUCAUUGGGCGUAAAGGGUGCGUAGGCGGCGCGGUAAGUCGGGUGUGAAAUCUUGGAGCUUAACUCCGAAACUGCAUUCGAUACUGCCGUGCUUGAGGACUGGAGAGGAGACUGGAAAUUUACGGUGUAGCGGUGAAAAUGCGUAGAUAUCGUAAGGAAGACCAGUGGCGAAGGCGGGGUCUCUG
rnacentral:rRNA from 1 species